AGGAGCAUGCAUAUGAUGAAACUAGCUGUUUUAAAGCAUAUCUAGCACAGAACAGCGUUUCUGAGUGAGAAUAGCAUAUUUCUAGUGGCAAUGUAACUUUUCAUGCAAAAGUGACCAAUUCUGCCUAAAAUGCUCCCAGGAGCAUGCAAAUGAUGAAACUAGCUGUUUUAAAGCAUAUCUAGCUCAGAACAGCGUUUCUGAGUGAGAAUAGCAUAUUUCUAGUGGCAAUGUAACUUUUCAUGCAAAAGUGACCAAUUCUGCCUAAAAUGCUCCCAGGAGCAUGCAUAUGAUGAAACUAGCUGUUUUAAAGCAUAUCUAGCACAGAACAGCGUUUCUGAGAGAGAAUAGCAUAUUUCUAGUGGCAAUGUAACUUUUCAUGCAAAAGUGACCAAUUCUGCCUAAAAUGCUCCCAGGAGCAUGCAUAUGAUGAAACUAGCUGUUUUAAAGCAUAUCUAGCACAGAACAGCGUUUCUGAGUGAGAAUAGCAUAUUUCUAGUGGCAAUGUAACUUUUCAUGCAAAAGUGACCAAUUCUGCCUAAAAUGCUCCCAGGAGCAUGCAUAUGAUGAAACUAGCUGUUUUAAAGCAUAUCUAGCACAGAACAGCGUUUCUGAGUGAGAAUAGCAUAUUUCUAGUGGCAAUGUAACUUUUCAUGCAAAAGUGACCAAUUCUGCCUAAAAUGCUCCCAGGAGCAUGCAUAUGAUGAAACUAGCUGUUUUAAAGCAUAUCUAGCUCAGAACAGCGUUUCUGAGUGAGAAUAGCAUAUUUCUAGUGGCAAUGUAACUUUUCAUGCAAAAGUGACCAAUUCUGCCUAAAAUGCUCCCAGGAGCAUGCAUAUGAUGAAACUAGCUGUUUUAAAGCAUAUCUAGCACAGAACAGCGUUUCUGAGUGAGAAUAGCAUAUUUCUAGUGGCAAUGUAACUUUUCAUGCAAAAGUGACCAAUUCUGCCUAAAAUGCUCCCAGGAGCAUGCAUAUGAUGAAACUAGCUGUUUUAAAGCAUAUCUAGCUCAGAACAGCGUUUCUGAGUGAGAAUAGCAUAUUUCUAGUGGCAAUGUAACUUUUCAUGCAAAAGUGACCAAUUCUGCCUAAAAUGCUCCCAGGAGCAUGCAUAUGAUGAAACUAGCUGUUUUAAAGCAUAUCUAGCACAGAACAGCGUUUCUGAGUGAGAAUAGCAUAUUUCUAGUGGCAAUGUAACUUUUCAUGCAAAAGUGACCAAUUCUGCCUAAAAUGCUCCCAGGAGCAUGCAUAUGAUGAAACUAGCUGUUUUAAAGCAUAUCUAGCUCAGAACAGCGUUUCUGAGUGAGAAUAGCAUAUUUCUAGUGGCAAUGUAACUUUUCAUGCAAAAGUGACCAAUUCUGCCUAAAAUGCUCCCAGGAGCAUGCAUAUGAUGAAACUAGCUGUUUUAAAGCAUAUCUAGCUCAGAACAGCGUUUCUGAGUGAGAAUAGCAUAUUUCUAGUGGCAAUGUAACUUUUCAUGCAAAAUGACCAAUUCUGCCUAAAAUGCUCCCAGGAGCAUGCAUAUGAUGAAACUAGCUGUUUUAAAGCAUAUCUAGCUCAGAACAGCGUUUCUGAGUGAGAAUAGCAUAUUUCUAGUGGCAAUGUAACUUUUCAUGCAAAGUGACCAAUUCUGCCUAAAGUGCUCCCAGGAGCAUGCAUAUGAUGAAACUAGCUGUUUUAAAGCAUAUCUAGCACAGAACAGCGUUUCUGAGUGAGAAUAGCAUAUUUCUAGUGGCAAUGUAACUUUUCAUGCAAAAGUGACCAAUUCUGCCUAAAGUGCUCCCAGGAGCAUGCAUAUGAUGAAACUAGCUGUUUUAAAGCAUAUCUAGCACAGAACAGCGUUUCUGAGUGAGAAUAGCAUAUUUCUAGUGGCAAUGUAACUUUUCAUGCAAAAGUGACCAAUUCUGCCUAAAAUGCUCCCAGGAGCAUGCAUAUGAUGAAACUAGCUGUU